UCCUCUUAAAUGAGAUAACUGAGAUACGAGAUCCAAUGCUUAAGGUAGGAAUCAAUUUGAUUACACUAUAUAUAUUGAAGGAAUCAGGUGAUAUUUAAAAAGUAUUCUAUUUUCCUUUCAUUUCAACUCAUUUUCUAUCUAAAAUAUUUUUUCUGGCUUUGCUAUUCCACCCAGCCGAGCCAUUAACUUUUAUUAAUAUUAAGAUUCUUAAUUAAGAAGCCAGGAAAAAGCAAUAAAGAAAGAAAUCUAUUCAUCGAGCAAAA
rnacentral:lncRNA from 1 species